CGGGACACGUGGUAUCCUGUCUGAAUAUGGGGGGACCAUCCUCCAAGGCUAAAUACUCCUGACUGACCGAUAGUGAACCAGUACCGUGAGGGAAAGGCGAAAAGAACCCCGGCGAGGGGAGUGAAAAAGAACCUGAAACCGUGUACGUACAAGCAGUGGGAGCACAGAGCAAUCUGUGUGACUGCGUACCUUUUGUAUAAUGGGUCAGCGACUUAUAUUCUGUAGCAAGGUUAACCGAAUAGGGGAGCCGAAGGGAAACCGAGUCUUAACUGGGCGUUAAGUUGCAGGGUAUAGACCCGAAACCCGGUGAUCUAGCCAUGGGCAGGUUGAAGGUUGGGUAACACUAACUGGAGGACCGAACCGACUAAUGUUGAAAAAUUAGCGGAUGACUUGUGGCUGG
rnacentral:rRNA from 1 species